UAUUAUAUACCCAUAAAAUAUAAUGACAAAGUAUGGAUGUUAGGUUCGGGACAUUGCGCGUAUAUGGAAAACUGGUGCCGAAAUUCCUGCAUACUAUACGAGACUGGUUCCAUCGGAAGUCUGAGUUACCUGCGACGACAGACAGGUGGCUUGCGUAAGGCAGAAAAGGAUUUCGCGCUGGUUCGCAUCAACGCGAGUCGCGUAAUCGCAAUUAAUGCGACGCUCGCGGUAAUGGUCGUUCUCAUUAUCAUCGCGGUGUGUAUUGGAUAAUACUCGAGCGUAUUCGAUGAUCCGACGCGGACGUGAGAUCCGUGUAAACAGGCAGUGUUAAUUUUCGGUCUUCCAGAAUGGUGAAGGGAGAGAGGAGAUCGGUGCAUAUGUACAUUUGAAAUAUGAAGCGGGACGGUAGGCGGGACAAUCGAUGACGGUACUAUAAUUAAAGUAUCCUUCGAUAUUUCGCUCGAGAACGGACCAGAGUAACAUCACGUGUCGUCGAUGUCAAGGCGUCUUCGUCGAGCAGUGAACGGAACGACGUACACUACCGCUUCAAAGUAUCCGGAUACUUGCUCGUUUCUACAAGAUAUAAUAAUAUGCAUAUAUGAUAUUCAAGGACAACGGGGCCGAUCGAACGCCGAUGACACUUUCCACUUUGUAAUUUUAUCCUCUUCUGACCCCUUAUGCACAUCGACCGUUCGAUGAGUCGGCAACGGUGCAGUGGAAUGAGAAAUUAUAGGAUCAGCUACAGUCACUUGCGCGCAGGCCAGUGGCGUACAACUUUCCCAGAGGGAAAACAACCUUCGCCAUUAUUCGCGGAUGUUACUUAACGUUCGCAAAAACCAUAAAUAAAAAUGUUAUCAAUCGAAA